rnacentral:rRNA from 1 species
GGCGAACGGGUGCGUAACACGUGGGCAACCUGCCCCUGACUCUGGGAUAACCCCGGGAAACCGGAGCUAAUACCGGAUACUCUCGGCCCUCCUCAUGGUGGGUCGAGGAAAGAUCUGUCGGUCAGGGAUGGGCCCGCGGCCUAUCAGCUUGUUGGUGGGGUAACGGCCUACCAAGGCGACGACGGGUAGCUGGUCUGAGAGGACGACCAGCCACACUGGAACUGAGAUACGGUCCAGACUCCUACGGGAGGCAGCAGUGGGGAAUAUUGCACAAUGGGCGAAAGCCUGAUGCAGCGACGCCGCGUGAGGGAUGAAGGCCUUCGGGUUGUAAACCGCUUUCAGCAGGGACGAAAUUGACGGUACCUGCAGAAGAAGCCCCGGCCAACUACGUGCCAGCAGCCGCGGUAACACGUAGGGGGCAAGCGUUGUCCGGAUUUAUUGGGCGUAAAGAGCUCGUAGGCGGCUCGGUAAGUCGGGUGUGAAACCUCCAGGCUCAACCUGGAGACGCCACCUGAUACUGCUGUGGCUAGAGUCCGGUAGGGGAGUGUGGAACUCCUGGUGUAGCGGUGAAAUGCGCAGAUAUCAGGAAGAACACCAGCGGCGAAGGCGGCACUCUGGGCCGGAACUGACGCUGAGGAGCGAAAGCGUGGGUAGCAAACAGGAUUAGAUACCCUGGUAGUCCACGCCGUAAACGUUGGGCACUAGGUGUGGGUUCCAACCAACGGGAUCCGUGCCGCAGCUAACGCAUUAAGUGCCCGCCUGGGGAGUACGGCCGCAAGGCUAAA